UUUCACCUAGCUUACGUUAUAAAGCAUCAGUUUGAAGAGCUGAGGAAAUGCGAUGUUGACA
rnacentral:tRNA from 1 species